rnacentral:rRNA from 1 species
GAUGAACGCUGGCGGCGUGCCUAAUACAUGCAAGUCGAGCGAACAGACGAGGAGCUUGCUCCUCUGACGUUAGCGGCGGACGGGUGAGUAACACGUGGAUAACCUACCUAUAAGACUGGGAUAACUUCGGGAAACCGGAGCUAAUACCGGAUAAUAUAUUGAACCGCAUGGUUCAAUAGUGAAAGACGGUUUUGCUGUCACUAAUAGAUGGAUCCGCGCCGCAUUAGCUAGUUGGUAAGGUAACGGCUUACCAAGGCUACGAUGCGUAGCCGACCUGAGAGGGUGAUCGGCCACACUGGAACUGAGACACGGUCCAGACUCCUACGGGAGGCAGCAGUAGGGAAUCUUCCGCAAUGGGCGAAAGCUUGACGGAGCAACGCCGCGUGAGUGAUGAAGGUCUUCGGAUCGUAAAACUCUGUUAUUAGGGAAGAACCAAUGUGUAAGUAACUAUGCACGUCUUGACGGUACCUGAUCAGAAAGCCACGGCUAACUACGUG